GUAAACCCAGGAAGAUGGCUGAAGACUAUGCUGAUUCAAGCCAAAGCAAGGAAUCAGCAAUGUGAAAAUGGACUAAUACAAUGGCGUUGGUUUCUAAUGGUUUAACACUAUCACCCUGAGUGCUGUUCUCCUAACAGUGACUAUAGAAAAGUUAUUAAAAAGAAAAAAUCAUGAAGAAAAGAAACAGAAAGUAGAUCAUGGAAUCUGUCUGAUCUUCUUUUCCUAUGUAAUCAAGAAAGCCUGGACAGAGAAUUAUUAGUGGAUGGGCCGCAAAGGAGAUUCUUCCAAGAUUUCAGAAGUUGGAAGGGAAGCAGAAUCCAUUUGAUAACACAAACACAUUGUUGCUUAUCUGUUGACUCAACUUGGGAUGAAGAAGCAGUUGAGCCAGUUGUGUGUGUAGAGCUCAAGGACAAAGGUCCUUAGCUUCUGCAGAAUACUAUCAUCACCAAGCUCACAGGCUUCUAGAGCAGACAUGUGCUUCAGUCCAUUCUGUGGGCUUCCAGCUUCUACUCUUGGAGUUCCAUCCUUUUUUAUGAUAUUACCUUUCUAACUGCAUAUGCUGUGGACUUCAAGCACUUG
ensembl:lncRNA MIR325HG MIR325 host gene